rnacentral:rRNA from 1 species
AAUUUGAGAAUUUGAUCUUGGUUCAGAUUGAAUGCUGACGGCGUGGAUGAGGCAUGCAAGUCGAACGAAGGAUCUCCGCAAGGGGGUCUUUAGUGGCGGAAGGGUUAGUAAUACAUGGGUAACGUGCCUUGUGCUUGGGGAUAACGUCUGGAAACGGGCGCUAAUACCGAAUGUGGUUUACCGGCGAUGCUGGUGGAAUCAAAGCGGGGGAUCCUGCAAAGGACCUUGCGGCAUGAGAUCGGCCCAUGGGGUAUCAGCUAGUUGGUGAGGUAAUGGCUCACCAAGGCUAAGACGCCUAGGCGGAUUGAGAGAUUGGCCGCCAACACUGGGACUGAGAACUGCCCAGACUCCUACGGGAGGCUGCAGUCGAGAAUCUUUCGCAAUGGGCGCAAGCCUGACGAAGCGACGCCGUGUGAGUGACGAAGGUCUUUGGAUUGUAAAGCUCUUUCGCCCGGGAACAAGGGUUAGCGACGAAUAAUCGCUGAUUUUGAGCGUACCGGGUAAAGAAGCGCCGGCUAACUACGUGCCAGCAGCUGCGGUAAUACGUAGGGCGCGAGCAUUAAUCGGAUUUACUGGGCGUAAAGGGUGCGUAGGCGGCUUGGCAAGUCAGAUGUGAAAUUUCGGGGCUCACCCCCGAAGCUGCAUUUGAAACUGCCGAGCUAGAGGUCAGGAGGGGAAAACGGAAUUCCACGUGUAGCGGUGAAA